rnacentral:lncRNA from 1 species
AUGCACACGCUUGUUUCUUCGAUCCUCCUACACAUUGCUUGGGUCGUUUCCGGCAAUUAUACUGGCCUCCAACCUUCUCAAAAACACGAGUGGGAAUUGCUCUCAUCACUUGCAUUCCACGUAAGUCAACAGAUUGUAAGUAUUACUAAUGUGAAAUUAUUUUACGUGGUGGAAAUGAAUUCGUAUCCACGUUUUACAGAUUUCAUUAAUGCCUUGCAUGAGACAUCGAUCCAGACCAUUUCAAUAUCUAAUCCCAGCAAAAUUGCCAGCUUAGUGGUUCCUGAUCAUGGCAAAAAUAUUAUUUUUACCCUAGAUGACGUCAGUGAGAUAUUAGACUUGAUUUUCUACACUAUUUCACGAACGGGGCAGUUUGAACAGGAAGAUAAAUCGAUAAAAACCCCUAUGAGAAACGGAAAAGAGGAUGUAUACCAGAAGGAUGUUUUGCCGCGUUACUGCAUAAAAGUUGAUGGAAGGUUACUCUGGUUGAACACGGCUGAAAGAAAGAAGUGCAGCAGGGAGAUAAGCGUAACAUCUCGCGAAUUAGACGACGCCUCGAUUCUGAGCGAUCAAGUUUUUAAUCUAACCCGAGGUUUGUUUUUGAGCAAAAUCUGGAAUUUCAAAAACUAUCUGAUCUUCUUGGUGAAACGUUUUGGCCACAUUACCAAAAUGAGUACGCUGAAAGCAUCCCGCAAUGUAACGCUUAUGAAAUCUGAGUCGGUGAGUGGUGCCCUAUUAUUCUGUUUCAAAUUUUUUUGGCGCUUCUUCAAAGGCCAAAAAGCUGUUAUUUGUCAUCCAAACGGCUGCGAGAGAUACGAUCCGUUCACGGAAAAUCUCAUUUCGCUCCAAGAAUGGGAAGAGGCCGACGAGACUUUUUUCGACUUUUCAUUGAGAGACAUGCAUAAAAAACCCUUUAGACCAGUCUUCGACUUUUCCGAAGAUAAUGGCUUUAUGGUCUCUUCCAGACCAUCUUGGUGUAACUGGCACUUAUUUCAGGAGACUGUUCUUACACACCUCGCCAGCUCCGUUAACGGCACCAUUGGAUAUUGUUCUUUUCCAGAUGAUAUUUAUUUGAGUGGUGGUGAGGCCCUAAAAUAUGGCCUCGAUAUGAUUCUGUAUCCAAGUGGAACAUUUGUAGCAGGAUCUGAGUAUUCCAAACUUGACUUUACGGUCGGUUUCGAUACAAGUAUUCUAUGUAUAGUCGCUCCACAUAGCAGCUAUAUGUCACAAGGGCUCGUCAUCUUCAAAAGUUUUUCACCACUUGUUUGGGGCUUCAUUUUCGUCACAAUCGUCCUCUUUUGUUGCAACCAGUAUGUUUUCCAUCGUUUGCAGCACGGAUUAUUUCAUCGGCUCUACACAAAUGCGGAGAUCGACUAUUACAGAAACGCAUCAUCUUUUUUGAUGCUCUACGCGUACUUCAUUUGCGGAGGUCCGCCAUCUUUACACCUCGGCCGUCUAUUUUCCGGGAAGAUCCUCUUCGUAAUCUUCAGCUUCUCUGCACUCAUUAUCUCCACAGUUUUUUUGAGUGGUAUGACGACACUGCUUAGUGAUAAAGUUAGGUAUCCAGAAAUUGAUUCCUUGAAGAGUUUGGAGGAGUCUGACCUCUUCAUUCAAAGCUUUGAGUAUGGUAAGUCGGAGAUCACAAGUCUUUUUAACCAAUUGAACCAAUCUGAGACAAUGAAAGCAAAAAUAACGGACAGUUAUAAUUUUUACGUACAAGACUUAUUCUUUCGUGACAUAGCUGGGAAUAAGAAGAUUGUCUCUUCUAUUAAUGGAACCUCCUCUGAUGCAAAAGCGUUUGGAGCAUUAUUGAAACAAUUUUUCGGAGUUCGGUUUGAAGAGGUGGAGGAAAAUGUGCGCACAAUGGCGGAGGAAGACGCAUUUUUAGUGAGUCUCCCUUACUCAGCUAUUCCGGAAGAAAAUCUUCGCAUCAAGUUUUUUUAUGAAGAAUUUUGGGUGGAGUAUCAUGUGAUCAAGGAGUGCCUUAUUACGUACCCGUUGAUAGGUGUGAGUCUGAAAAAUUCUUUCUACUUUGAGUUAUAUAACCAGCUGGUCACUCAAUAUUUCGAGACUGGACAUGCUCGAAGAAUUUUACUAGAGGAAAACUAUUUGAAUUACAUGAAGGGGUCAGAGGCGCCCACGGGUGAGAACAGUGAAGAUCCCCGUCCGUACAGUUUAAAUGAUUUACAAUCGGCAUUCAUUGGUCUCGUUGUUGGCUUGUUCUUAAGCUUUUUGGCUUUCAUCGGAGAAAUUUUGAUGGAUAUUUUUCCGCACUCUGCCGCUGUGAAAUUUCUAGUGCGAUUAAAGAACUUACUUUCAUAA